UGAUGGCAAUGAUGAUUUUUAAAUGUAUUGUUCACCUGAUAAAUAAAUAUGAGGGUGUUCAGUCACUACCUCAUCUGAUGCCAUCU
ensembl:snoRNA SNORD11B small nucleolar RNA, C/D box 11B